UACGAAGGGGGCGAGCGUUGUUCGGAAUUACUGGGCGUAAAGGGCGCGCAGGCGGCUCUGAAAGUCAGAUGUGAAAGCCCCGGGCUUAACCUGGGAAUUGCAUUUGAUACUCUGGAGCUUGAGUACGGGAGAGGAGAGUGGAAUUCCCAGUGUAGAGGUGAAAUUCGUAGAUAUCAGGAGGAACACCGGUGGCGAAGGCGGGUCUCUGGGCAGUAACUGACGCUGGAGGAGCGAAAGCGUGGGGAGCGAACAGG
rnacentral:rRNA from 1 species